UACGUAGGGUGCGAGCGUUAAUCGGAAUUACUGGGCGUAAAGCGUGCGUAGGCGGUUCUGCAAGUCAGAUGUGAAAUCCCCGGGCUUAACCUGGGAACUGCGUUUGAAACUACGGAGCUAGAGUGUGGCAGAGGGGGGUGGAAUUCCACGUGUAGCAGUGAAAUGCGUAGAUAUGUGGAGGAACACCGAUGGCGAAGGCAACCCCCUGGGCCGACACUGACGCUGAGGCACGAAAGCGUGGGGAGCAAACAGG
rnacentral:rRNA from 1 species